GAUGAACGCUGGCGGCGUGCUUAACACAUGCAAGUCGAACGAAGCAACUGUGAUUGAGACUUCGGUGGAUUGAUCAGUUGACUUAGUGGCGGACGGGUGAGUAACGCGUGGGUAACCUGCCUUGUACAGGGGGAUAACAGUUAGAAAUGACUGCUAAUACCGCAUAACCCGCUAAGGUCGCAUGACCUAGACGGAAAAGAUUUAUCGGUACAAGAUGGACCCGCGUCUGAUUAGCUAGUUGGUGAGGUAACGGCCCACCAAGGCGACGAUCAGUAGCCGGCCUGAGAGGGUGACCGGCCACAUUGGGACUGAGACACGGCCCAAACUCCUACGGGAGGCAGCAGUGGGGAAUAUUGCACAAUGGGGGAAACCCUGAUGCAGCAACGCCGCGUGAGUGAAGAAGUAUUUCGGUAUGUAAAGCUCUAUCAGCAGGGAAGAAAAUGACGGUACCUGACUAAGAAGCCCCGGCUAACUACGUG
rnacentral:rRNA from 1 species